rnacentral:rRNA from 1 species
AGCGAACGCUGGCGGCAGGCUUAACACAUGCAAGUCGAACGGUCCUUCGGGAUAGUGGCGGACGGGUGAGUAACACGUGGGAACGUACCCUUAGGUUCGGAACAACACAGGGAAACUUGUGCUAAUACCGGAUAAGCCCUUCGGGGGAAAGAUUUAUCGCCUUUGGAGCGGCCCGCGUCUGAUUAGCUUGUUGGUGAGGUAAUGGCUCACCAAGGCUACGAUCAGUAGCUGGUCUGAGAGGAUGGCCAGCCACACUGGGACUGAGACACGGCCCAGACUCCUACGGGAGGCAGCAGUGGGGAAUCUUGCGCAAUGGGCGAAAGCCUGACGCAGCCAUGCCGCGUGGAUGAUGAAGGUCUUAGGAUUGUAAAAUCCUUUCACCGGGGGAUAAUGACGGUACCCGGAGAAGAAGCCCCGGCUAACUUCGUGCCAGCAGCCGCGGUAA